GAUGAACGCUGGCGGCGUGCCUAAUACAUGCAAGUCGAGCGAACAGACGAGGAGCUUGCUCCUCUGACGUUAGCGGCGGACGGGUGAGUAACACGUGGAUAACCUACCUAUAAGACUGGGAUAACUUCGGGAAACCGGAGCUAAUACCGGAUAAUAUAUUGAACCGCAUGGUUCAAUAGUGAAAGACGGUUUUGCUGUCACUUAUAGAUGGAUCCGCGCCGCAUUAGCUAGUUGGUAAGGUAACGGCUUACCAGGGCAACGAUGCGUAGCCGACCUGAGAGGGUGAUCGGCCACACUGGAACUGAGACACGGUCCAGACUCCUACGGGAGGCAGCAGUAGGGAAUCUUCCGCAAAGGGCGAAAGCCUGACGGAGCAACGCCGCGUGAGUGAUGAAGGUCUUCGGAUCGUAAAACUCUGUUAUUAGGGAAGAACAAAUGUGUAAGUAACUAUGCACGUCUUGACGGUACCUAAUCAGAAAGCCACGGCUAACUACGUG
rnacentral:rRNA from 1 species